rnacentral:rRNA from 2 species
ACCCUGAUCCAGCAAUGCCGCGUGUGUGAAGAAGGCCUUCGGGUUGUAAAGCACUUUUGUCCGGAAAGAAAACGUCUUGGUUAAUACCUGAGGCGGAUGACGGUACCGGAAGAAUAAGCACCGGCUAACUACGUGCCAGCAGCCGCGGUAAUACGUAGGGUGCGAGCGUUAAUCGGAAUUACUGGGCGUAAAGCGUGCGCAGGCGGUCUGUUAAGACCGAUGUGAAAUCCCCGGGCUUAACCUGGGAACUGCAUUGGUGACUGGCAGGCUUUGAGUGUGGCAGAGGGGGGUAGAAUUCCACGUGUAGCAGUGAAAUGCGUAGAGAUGUGGAGGAAUACCGAUGGCGAAGGCAGCCCCCUGGGCCAACACUGACGCUCAUGCACGAAAGCGUGGGGAGCAAACAGGAUUAGAUACCCUGGUAGUCCACGCCCUAAACGAUGUCAACUAGUUGUUGGGGAUUCAUUUCCUUAGUAACGUAGCUAACGCGUGAAGUUGACCGCCUGGGGAGUACGGUCGCAAGAUUAAAACUCAAAGGAAUUGACGGGGACCCGCACAAGCGGUGGAUGAUGUGGAUUAAUUCGAUGCAACGCGAAAAACCUUACCUACCCUUGACAUGGUCGGAAGUCUGCUGAGA